AGCAUGUACAAUGUUAGGCUGGUCAGAUCCAUGGAAUACUGUCACAUGGCACUUCUCACCCAGCACAUCCUCUCUCAUUUUCUCGUUCUGACAGAGGUGAAAGAAGCAAAGUGAGGGGGGGUGUUUGGAGGGAGAGCCAUGGGGUCACCAGGCUGCACUGACAGAUAGAGGACUGCACAGCACUGCUCCGGGCAAGUGAUCCACCUCCCUGCUGAGACUGGCUUCCUUGUGUCAUGUAAUUUAGUGCUCAGUCACUUCUGUUUCCUCACCAUGAACUCCCUCAGAUGCUCCCAAGUAAAGAACUCUCAUUACUACAACAGGUGAGUCUUGUUAAUGUCCAUAAAUUCCUGAAGGGAGGGUGAAAAGAGAAUGGAGCCAAGCUCUUUCCAGUGGUGCCCAGUGCCAGGACAGGAGGCAGUGGGCAUAAACUGGCACACGGGGUGGGCUUUAAGGUCCCCUCCAGCCUAAGCCGUUCUAUGAUUCCAUUAUUAAUCUUUGACCAAAACUAGCACUAAUUGGAUGUUUUCAGCUCUGGAAGAAAGCAAGACAGAGGAUUGCUAAAGCAGGAAGCACAGGUCCCAUUAUCAAGAGCACUCUUUCUGGCUUGGCUGAGAGUCCAAAAGCUUUGAACUAUUUUAGGAGUAUUAACACCACAAAAGCGGGAAGCGUUAAGGAAGAAUGAUGCAUCUUUUUAGCCAAUGGCAGAAAUAGCUUCAGCAUUCCCUCUGACAAGAUACAUGAACAAUCAGCUUUCCAAGAGAAUGUGGAGAUAGUGGUACAGCUGAGAGAAAUUCUAACUCUGUGAACAUGCCCAUUUUUCACGGAGAUUACUGAUGCAUAUGCUUAAAAGCAAGACCCACGUGGACAAAGCCCUGAGCAACCUGGUCUGUUGGGCAGAAGAUUGGCAUGGAGACCUCUUGAGCACGCCUCAACCUGAACAAUACCGCACUGUUCCUAUUGCUUCCAGGGCUUUCCAGGAGCAGUGCUGGAUACACAAGUCUGCAGCAGAAUGGAGCACCCUCCAGGCUGAAGAAUCUCAUUAGGAAUACAAGCUACAAGUACAGAAGUACUCAACUGAAGCAGUCCUUUACUGAACACAUAAUUUCUUAAAAUAGCUUUUCCAAUACUCUUCAGUUUGUUUUUGACAUCAGCUCUUUGCAUGCAAAUUUCUAAUUCUUUUGCUCUUCUUUUGCUGUUCUUUAGUGUAGGACUUGUAUAUUGCUCCACUUGUCCUGUAAACACACUUCAGGACUUAAGAGUGUUGUCACAAUUUCACCACCUCUGAGCUCCUCCAUCUCUGAGUGUUGGUUCAAUUGUCCUUACACUUCUCUCUCCUUCCAGGGCAGCCCUGCUGAUCUCCCCACACCCUCCAAGAAGGAAGUAAGAAUGGAGAGUACCCUGAAACACCUUCAAUAUUUCAGCAUGCAUUACAAUGUGUCCUAGGUAAGCCACAAAAUCAAUCUUUGACAGAGUUCAAUUGCUAUUUCGAAUCUUGGUUAGCGCUGCUUCAGAACUGAAAGCCGCAUUUCUUGGAUGAAUACAUAGACAACUUUCAUUCCUCUAUUUCAUCCCUCUAUUCAGUAAGCUCUAUUUCUUUCUGACAUCCUAUUUUCUUGAUCUUUUC
rnacentral:lncRNA from 1 species